rnacentral:rRNA from 1 species
UGCCUUUUGAAGUUUACUAAAAGGUUGUUUCUGCUCGGUGGUUUUUAACAGCCGCGGUAAUUUGACCGUGCAAAGGUAGCAUAAUCAUUUGCCUUGUAAUUGAGGGCUGGAAUGAAUGAAUUAACAAGGGUUUUGCUUUAUUGGGGAAAGGUAGUGAAAUUUCUUUCUUAGUGAAGAAGCUAAGAUGAUGAAAGGGGACAAGAAGACCCUUUCGAGCUUUACUAGUUUUAGUCUUUUUGGUUAGUUUUAGUUUGGUUGGGGCGACCAAGGAAUAAGAUCUUCCUUUUUGACUUUAGAUCCACAGUUUGUGAUUAAAAGAGUAAGUUACCGAAGGGAUAACAGCGUAAUCUUCUCUGAGAGUUCUUAUUAAAGAGAAGGAUUGCGACCUCGAUGUUGACUUAUGGUUUCCUCUCGGUGCAGUAGCUGUUAGGGUGGGUCUGUUCGACCUUUAAAAUCUU